rnacentral:snRNA from 1 species
GUGCUUACUUCAGCAGCACAUGUACUAUAUAAUUGGAACAGUACAGAGAUUAACAUGCUCCCUGCUGUAGGAUGAUAUGCAGAUUUGUGAUGUGUUUGAUAUUUAA